AGUCUAUUCUUGUUCUGAGAAAUGAAGGCUAUUCCAUGCGAGAAAUUGCCAAGAAACUGAAGAUCUCGUACACUGCUGUGUACUACUCCAUGAGGGCAGCUUCAUUAAAAACACCAGUCUCAACGUCAACAGUGAAGAGGCGACUCCAGGAUGCUGGCCUUCUAGGCAGAGUUCCUCUGUCCAGUCUCAACGUCAACAGUGAAGAGGUGACUCCAGGAUGCUGGCCUUCUAGACAGAGUUCCUCUGUCCAGUCUCAACGUCAACAGUGAAGAGGUGACUCCAGGAUGCUGGCCUUCUAGGCAGAGUUCCUCUGUCCAUUCUCAACGUCAACAGUGAAGAGGUGACUCCAGGAUGCUGGCCUUCUAGGCAGAGUUCCUCUGUCCAUUCUCAACGUCAACAGUGAAGAGGUGACUCCAGGAUGCUGGCCUUCUAGGCAGAGUUCCUCUGUCCAUUCUCAACGUCAACAGUGAAGAGGUGACUCCAGGAUGCUGGCCUUCUAGGCAGAGUUCCUCUGUCCAGUCUCAACGUCAACAGUGAAGAGGCGACUCCAGGAUGCUGGCCUUCUAGGCAGAGUUCCUCUGUCCAUUCUCAACGUCAACAGUGAAGAGGCAACUCCAGGAUGCUGGCCUUCUAGGCAGAGUUCCUCUGUCCAUUCUCAACGUCAACAGUGAAGAGGUGACUCCAGGAUGCUGGCCUUCUAGGCAGAGUUCCUCUGUCCAUUCUCAACGUCAACAGUGAAGAGGUGACUCCAGGAUGCUGGCCUUCUAGGCAGAGUUCCUCUGUCCAGUCUCAACGUCAACAGUGAAGAGGUGACUCCAGGAUGCUGGCCUUCUAGACAGAGUUCCUCUGUCCAGUCUCAACGUCAACAGUGAAGAGGUGACUCCAGGAUGCUGGCCUUCUAGGCAGAGUUCCUCUGUCCAGUCUCAACGUCAACAGUGAAGAGGUGACUCUGGGAUGCUGGCCUUCUAGACAGAGUUCCUCUGUCCAGUCUCAACGUCAACAGUGAAGAGGUGACUCCAGGAUGCUGGCCUUCUAGGCAGAGUUCCUCUGUCCAUUCUCAACGUCAACAGUGAAGAGGUGACUCCAGGAUGCUGGCCUUCUAGGCAGAGUUCCUCUGUCCAUUCUCAACGUCAACAGUGAAGAGGUGACUCCAGGAUGCUGGCCUUCUAGGCAGAGUUCCUCUGUCCAGUCUCAACGUCAACAGUGAAGAGGUGACUCCAGGAUGCUGGCCUUCUAGGCAGAGUUCCUCUGUCCAUUCUCAACGUCAACAGUGAAGA